rnacentral:rRNA from 1 species
AUUGAACGCUGGCGGCAUGCCUUACACAUGCAAGUCGAACGGCAGCACGGGUGCUUGCACCUGGUGGCGAGUGGCGAACGGGUGAGUAAUACAUCGGAACGUACCUUAUCGUGGGGGAUAACGCCGCGAAAGGUGUGCUAAUACCGCAUACGCCCUGAGGGGGAAAGCGGGGGAUAGCAAGACCUCGCGCGAUUAGAGCGGCCGAUGCCUGAUUAGCUUGUUGGUGGGGUAAAAGCCCACCAAGGCGACGAUCAGUAGCUGGUCUGAGAGGACGAUGAGGCACACUGGGACUGAGACACGGCCCAGACUCCUACGGGAGGCAGCAGUGGGGAAUUUUGGACGAUGGGGGCAACCCUGAUCCAGCAAUGCCGCGUGAGUGAAGAAGGCCUUCGGGUUGUAAAGCUCUUUUGUCAGGGAAGAAACACCGGCUCUAACACAGUCCGGGAAUGACGGUACCUGAAGAAUAAGCACCGGCAACUACGUGCCAGCCGCCGCGGUAA